rfam:Capsella rubella cultivar Monte Gargano unplaced genomic scaffold scaffold_8, whole genome shotgun sequence.
AUGAGAAUGAUGAAAAAAAUCAUUCGGAUUCCCAUUGAUUUCCCUAUAACGGGAAAGAUGUGAUUAUAUUAAACCAGCUACUUUUGACUCAU